CUAGCUCUCGAAGCCAUCGGAACGAAUGUUCUAUCGUUUGAAAACGCGCACCGGGAGCGGAUCGAAUAAAUAUCGAAUCGUUAGCGAGUCGUUCAUUUUCCCGUUUUGUAUUACGAUCGACUGUUGCGGAAGAGCCAACGAAGAAAACAGGUUUCUUCUUGCGCCCGUGCCGAUUCGUAAAUAAAGUUGGCAAGCGGCGAAUUGCGACCGUGCACGCCCACGUAACUUCCAUAAUGGCGCAAUAAUUCCACUGGCGUGGCCAAAGGUAAGGGCAUCACGGGGGUAGCUCGCGAUCUUUGCGUGUAGACCGGUAGUGAGGUGGAUGAUUGAACAUUGAGUGGAUGAGAGACAAAAGGAGCAAAAAUAUAUACGCGAUGGUAUUAAUCUGCCGUGUAAUUUCGAAAGUUUUGAGAUAAUUUUAUUGCUACUGUUAGUUGAACUAUAUAAUCAAGAAUAAUCAUAAUUUUCUUCUAAUAAAUAUUAUGUUGAGUUUAAGUUAACAGUUGGAAGUGGCUCGAAGUUGAAACUCCUUCAACAAAUAUCCGACAACGAAUACCAUAUUGAUAAUAUCGAUUAUUUUACCGUUUCAAUUUCUAACAUCAACGUCAACGUAUACACACGCAAACUUUCUCCAGAAGAGAACUGCUCUUAUUAUACGCAUAUAAGAAAUCACGACAUCGUAACGUCAAUCUAUUCCUGGGAAUAAAUUCCGUCAAUCAUAUUUAAUCGAUAGAAUCCGACCGAUACCUAAUCGCAAUUUCAUUCCUUCCUAUUUACUCGAGUCUCACCCCCUUUCCCCCAUACUAGAGGGCGGCAAGUGCCGCCGGUUGGUAGCGGAAGCGCGUUAAAGCUACAUCAGACUCUCACGUUGACUACGCUCGGAAUACUAUCUGCAUAGUAGGUCGACACCAGGUCUGACUAUGCGAGGCACGCGAGGGAACCGCCUGUAAAUUUUCCCCGAAAUGAGAGUGUCACCGCGGCCCUCCCCCACCAUCCUUUCUCCUCGAGGAUCUUUCCUACCCCACCCCCUCAUCUCCCUGCGAUAGAACGAUCUACUCCGUUCCAGUCGUACGUACCGCAUGAAUUCUAAAUGAGAUUCCGCGUCCCGGGCCAAAAGGGACCCUUUCUCCUCAUCCUCCUCCUCGCCCCUCUUCUUUUUCGCGAAUCGCUCGCCUUUCACACGGUCGACCGCGAAGUUCCUCGCUCCGUUUCGGAUGCAAUAAAUUCGUCAGCGAGGGAGAGAGUCCCGGAGUCCAACGUGGUGGAGAGAUCCGUCGAUGAAUGCAGGGAACGACGGUUCUCGAACGACAGGAAAUCACGAGAAUGUAAAGUGCCCGGGAGAACGUACCGUGAAUCGAUACGAUGUAUCAAUUUUAAUUAUGAAUUCGGUUAAUAAAAAUGUUACUACGUUCAGUUGGGGAGAGUUGAAGACGAGAAAAGGAUUGAUAAGAAUAUACGAAGAAAUCUGAGAACGACAGGUCUCAGAUGGGAUGGAAGUGGAUAAACUUACCGAUGUAAAAGUGUGACACGAUGUACUAGCACGAGAUCGACAAUGACAAAGUGUACAUGCAAACUUCAAGCCAAGAUGUAGAAAGUGCAUGGACACUUUAGUCGAUAUUCUUUCCUGCUGUAACACCUGCAGAAGAUCUAUUUUCCUAUCUUAUAAUACAUGGAGAGAAGCUGGACGCUGUGGGACGGUGCAAACAAGUUCCCAAACCUAUUUCCGCUCCCAGAACCCCUCUCACUCGUUCUCCAAGGAGUCAUGGAUCACCCUGACGCCCUGCCAACUCUUCGUUGUCGUAUGAUAAACGCCUGAUAGCCCUUGUUUCCACGGAAGAACCUCCUCGAGGUCUGCCUCCGAGCGAGGACUCCUACCCCCUUUGUGUCGUGGCGCGUUGCUACGCAUAAUUGUGUAUCAACAGGGCUGGCCGUGUGCGGUCGACUCGAUAACGCGACGAACACCGAUCCCCCUUUUCAACAUCUCCCUCCCCCUCCUUCCUCCUCUCUCCCUGUCCUAUCAUCGUUGGCGGCGAUGAACGACGAGUAUCGAGUGUCGAGCAACCGUGUCACGACAUUGACGAGAUGAUCGAUUGGCUGGGAACUGGAGGGCUCGAGGGAAACGCAGCUCGUUGGAAAAAUAUCGGCGAGGCCAUGGCCUCUUUUAUAUGGGUUACCGUGUCAUCGAUACAUAGUUUCGUCAGGGAGGAUUCGGGUAAGAGAUCGUAAUUUGCGAUACUCUUUUCGAAAAUUUUUCUCUCUUUCUCUCUCUUUCUAUAUUUCUUUUCGUGCCAGUUUUAGUUAAGUGAAAUAACUGCGGAGAUUAUUUCUUAUCUUAGCAGUAUUUUCUUUGUUAUUUAAUUCUUUCGUGUGUAUAUUACACAUAAAUGUGUAAGAAACAGGAUUAAAAAAUUAUUAAUUAUGUUCGAUUCUGGAAGGAACGAAAGAGUUAAUAAAUUUAAUUUUUAAGUUAUUUUUUAAUUAAAUUAAAUUAAUU